CUACGGGCCGCUCCAGUGGGGAAUAUUGCACAAUGGGCGCAAGCCUGAUGCAGCCAUGCCGCGUGUAUGAAGAAGGCCUUCGGGUUGUAAAGUACUUUCAGCGGGGAGGAAGGGAGUAAAGUUAAUACCUUUGCUCAUUGACGUUACCCGCAGAAGAAGCACCGGCUAAGUCCGUGCCAGCAGCCGCGGUAAUACGGAGGGUGCAAGCGUUAAUCGGAAUUACUGGGCGUAAAGCGCACGCAGGCGGUUUGUUAAGUCAGAUGUGAAAUCCCCGGGCUCAACCUGGGAACUGCAUCUGAUACUGGCAAGCUGGAGUCUCGUAGAGGGGGGUAGAAUUCCAGGUGUAGCGGUGAAAUGCGUAGAGAUCUGGAGGAAUACCGGUGGCGAAGGCGGCCCCCUGGACGAAGACUGACGCUCAGGUGCGAAAGCGUGGGGAGCAAACAGGAUUAGAUACCCCUGUAGUC
rnacentral:rRNA from 1 species